GAGUUUGAUCUGGCUCAGGACGAACGCUGGCGGCGCGCCUAACACAUGCAAGUCGAACGAGCGAGAGAGAGCUUGCUUUCUCGAGCGAGUGGCGAACGGGUGAGUAACGCGUGAGGAACCUGCCUCAAAGAGGGGGACAACAGUUGGAAACGACUGCUAAUACCGCAUAAGCCCACGGCCCGGCAUCGGGCUGAGGGAAAAGGAUUUAUUCGCUUCAGGAUGGACUCGCGUCCAAUUAGCUAGUUGGUGAGGUAACGGCCCACCAAGGCGACGAUUGGUAGCCGGACUGAGAGGUUGAACGGCCACAUUGGGACUGAGACACGGCCCAGACUCCUACGGGAGGCAGCAGUGGGGGAUAUUGCACAAUGGGGGAAACCCUGAUGCAGCGACGCCGCGUGAAGGAAGAAGGUUUUCGGAUUGUAAACUCCUGUCGUUAGGGACGAUAAUGACGGUACCUAACAAGAAAGCACCGGCUAACUACGUGCCAGCCGCCGCGGUAAUAC
rnacentral:rRNA from 1 species